rnacentral:rRNA from 1 species
UAGGGGGCCAUCCCGGCUUACCAACCCGAUGCAAACUGCGAAUACCGGAGAAUGUUAUCACGGGAGACACACGGCGGGUGCUAACGUCCGUCGUGAAGAGGGAAACAACCCAGACCGCCAGCUAAGGUCCCAAAGUCAUGGUUAAGUGGGAAACGAUGUGGGAAGGCCCAGACAGCCAGGAUGUUGGCUUAGAAGCAGCCAUCAUUUAAAGAAAGCGUAAUAGCUCACUGGUCGAGUCGGCCUGCGCGGAAGAUGUAACGGGGCUAAACCAUGCACCGAAGCUGCGGCAGCGACACUGUGUGUUGUUGGGUAGGGGAGCGUUCUGUAAGCCUGUGAAGGUGUGUCGUGAGGCAUGCUGGAGGUAUCAGAAGUGCGAAUGCUGACAUAAGUAACGAUAAAGCGGGUGAAAAGCCCGCUCGCCGGAAGACCAAGGGUUCCUGUCCAACGUUAAUCGGGGCAGGGUGAGUCGACCCCUAAGGCGAGGCCGAAAGGCGUAGUCGAUGGGAAACGGGUUAAUAUUCCCGUACUUGGUGUUACUGCGAAGGGGGGACGGAGAAGGCUAUGUUGGCCGGGCGACGGUUGUCCCGGUUUAAGCGUGUAGGUGUGUGUUCCAGGUAAAUCCGGUUCACUUUAACACUGAGGCGUGACGACGAGGCACUACGGUGCUGAAGCAACAAAUGCCCUGCUUCCAGGAAAAGCCUCUAAGCAUCAGGUAACAUCAAAUCGUACCCCAAACCGACACAGGUGGUCAGGUAGAGAAUACCAAGGCGCUUGAGAGAACUCGGGUGAAGGAACUAGGCAAAAUGGUGCCGUAACUUCGGGAGAAGGCACGCUGACACGUAGGUGAAGUGAUUUACUCAUGGAGCUGAAGUCAGUCGAAGAUACCAGCUGGCUGCAACUGUUUAUUAAAAACACAGCACUGUGCAAACACGAAAGUGGACGUAUACGGUGUGACGCCUGCCCGGUGCCGGAAGGUUAAUUGAUGGGGUCAGCGCAAGCGAAGCUCCUGAUCGAAGCCCCGGUAAACGGCGGCCGUAACUAUAACGGUCCUAAGGUAGCGAAAUUCCUUGUCGGGUAAGUUCCGACCUGCACGAAUGGCGUAAUGAUGGCCAGGCUGUCUCCACCCGAGACUCAGUGAAAUUGAACUCGCUGUGAAGAUGCAGUGUACCCGCGGCAAGACGGAAAGACCCCGUGAACCUUUACUAUAGCUUGACACUGAACAUUGAGCCUUGAUGUGUAGGAUAGGUGGGAGGCUUUGAAGUGUGGACGCCAGUCUGCAUGGAGCCGACCUUGAAAUACCACCCUUUAAUGUUUGAUGUUCUAACGUGGACCCGUUACCCGGGUUGCGGACAGUGUCUGGUGGGUAGUUUGACUGGGGCGGUCUCCUCCUAAAGAGUAACGGAGGAGCACGAAGGUUGGCUAAUCCUGGUCGGACAUCAGGAGGUUAGUGCAAUGGCAUAAGCCAGCUUGACUGCGAGCGUGACGGCGCGAGCAGGUGCGAAAGCAGGUCAUAGUGAUCCGGUGGUUCUGAAUGGAAGGGCCAUCGCUCAACGGAUAAAAGGUACUCCGGGGAUAACAGGCUGAUACCGCCCAAGAGUUCAUAUCGACGGCGGUGUUUGGCACCUCGAUGUCGGCUCAUCACAUCCUGGGGCUGAAGUAGGUCCCAAGGGUAUGGCUGUUCGCCAUUUAAAGUGGUACGCGAGCUGGGUUUAGAACGUCGUGAGACAGUUCGGUCCCUAUCUGCCGUGGGCGCUGGAGAACUGAGGGGGGCUGCUCCUAGUACGAGAGGACCGGAGUGGACGCAUCACUGGUGUUCGGGUUGUCAUGCCAAUGGCACUGCCCGGUAGCUAAAUGCGGAAGAGAUAAGUGCUGAAAGCAUCUAAGCACGAAACUUGCCCCGA